rnacentral:rRNA from 1 species
GAUGAACGCUGGCGGCGUGCCUAAUACAUGCAAGUCGAGCGAACGGACGAGAAGCUUGCUUCUCUGAUGUUAGCGGCGGACGGGUGAGUAACACGUGGAUAACCUACCUAUAAGACUGGGAUAACUUCGGGAAACCGGAGCUAAUACCGGAUAAUAUUUUGAACCGCAUGGUUCAAAAGUGAAAGACGGUCUUGCUGUCACUUAUAGAUGGAUCCGCGCUGCAUUAGCUAGUUGGUAAGGUAACGGCUUACCAAGGCAACGAUGCAUAGCCGACCUGAGAGGGUGAUCGGCCACACUGGAACUGAGACACGGUCCAGACUCCUACGGGAGGCAGCAGUAGGGAAUCUUCCGCAAUGGGCGAAAGCCUGACGGAGCAACGCCGCGUGAGUGAUGAAGGUCUUCGGAUCGUAAAACUCUGUUAUUAGGGAAGAACAUAUGUGUAAGUAACUGUGCACAUCUUGACGGUACCUAAUCAGAAAGCCACGGCUAACUACGUGCCAGCAGCCGCGGUAAUACGUAGGUGGCAAGCGUUAUCCGGAAUUAUUGGGCGUAAAGCGCGCGUAGGCGGUUUUUUAAGUCUGAUGUGAAAGCCCACGGCUCAACCGUGGAGGGUCAUUGGAAACUGGAAAACUUGAGUGCAGAAGAGGGAAGUGGAAUUCCAUGUGUAGCGGUGAAAUGCGCAGAGAUAUGGAGGAACACCAGUGGCGAAGGCGACUUUCUGGUCUGUAACUGACGCUGAUGUGCGAAAGCGUGGGGAUCAAACAGGAUUAGAUACCCUGGUAGUCCACGCCGUAAACGAUGAGUGCUAAGUGUUAGGGGGUUUCCGCCCCUUAGUGCUGCAGCUAACGCAUUAAGCACUCCGCCUGGGGAGUACGACCGCAAGGUUGAAACUCAAAGGAAUUGACGGGGACCCGCACAAGCGGUGGAGCAUGUGGUUUAAUUCGAAGCAACGCGAAGAACCUUACCAAAUCUUGACAUCCUUUGACAACUCUAGAGAUAGAGCUUUCCCCUUCGGGGGACAAAGUGACAGGUGGUGCAUGGUUGUCGUCAGCUCGUGUCGUGAGAUGUUGGGUUAAGUCCCGCAACGAGCGCAACCCUUAAGCUUAGUUGCCAUCAUUAAGUUGGGCACUCUAAGUUGACUGCCGGUGACAAACCGGAGGAAGGUGGGGAUGACGUCAAAUCAUCAUGCCCCUUAUGAUUUGGGCUACACACGUGCUACAAUGGACAAUACAAAGGGCAGCGAAACCGCGAGGUCAAGCAAAUCCCAUAAAGUUGUUCUCAGUUCGGAUUGUAGUCUGCAACUCGACUACAUGAAGCUGGAAUCGCUAGUAAUCGUAGAUCAGCAUGCUACGGUGAAUACGUUCCCGGGUCU